CUUAAACAUUCAGAUAUUGGAAGGUUCUCUCUAACGAGUCUUCAUUUUACAUUUACAAUAGGUAACAAAGGGAAAGGCUGUAAAACUAACAAGCAACAAUCCAACAAUUUCCUAUUAGAUUUCCUGGUGAAUCACCCACAUACUCAAUCCCAGACUCGAGACCGUAACAAUUUGGUAUCAAAACUCAACAUGGGCAAAGCCUUCUUGCGACAAUUUGAGAUCUUCUUGAAGUAGUAUCAUAAUGAUUGCGAAAUCAUCCUCACUCAACAGCAGGAUUUAUCAUUGUGAAUGGACAACCUUGCAAAGGAAUUUAAAACCAGCCGUUUGGAGAAGCCAUUGAUGGCCGAGAAGAAAAGUGUUCUACAAGGUCAACCGAAUGAAGGAAAAAAAGACCAAUCACUAAUACUUCAAACCAUGAAGGCCGGCAUGAAAAUGGUUGGUUUGUUCUGAGGUAUUUAAAAUUGGAUUUUCCUUCCUAAAAUGGCAAAGAAAAUCCCAUUGGGUGGUUUAGCAGGUGCGAGCAUUGUUUUUGACACCAAAAAACUGCAGCAGAUGAUAAGGUAAGCCUAGCUCCUUUCCAUCUUAAAGGAGUUGGUCAACUCUCCUUCUUGAAAUUGGAACAAGAUAGCUCAAUUUAGCAUGGGUUGAAUUUAAAGAAUGUUAUCAUCAAUGUUUUGAGCCCCCAAUUAGUGGAGGUCAACUUGGAGCUUUGUCCAAAUUAAGCCAAAUAAGCUCAGUGGAGGAAUACCAACAUCUGUUUGAACAAUUAGGUGGAGAUUUUCAUUAGCAGUUUGAAUGAGGCUCUACAAAUCAAGGUAACUAUACACCAUCCCACUGACCUAUCAACUACAAUGGAUUUGGCUCAGUUGUUUGAACAACGAAUGCACAAAGGCUACAAGCUCUAAAGGCUAAAGCGAGCACAUUCGACUUCAUAUAACACGAACCCACCAUUUAUCAAGCAGUUAUUUAGCGCUGAGAUAGCAUAAUGAAGGGCAAAAGAAUUAUGGUUUAAUGGCUAUGAGCCAUAUAUAAACAAGCAUCACUGUAAAAAAUUAUUUUGGCUAGAAGGAAUUGAAGAUUGAAAUGCUAAAGGGAAAUUGAGAGUCAAUAAAAGCUUUGUGAGGCCACUUUGUGGCAACAAUUUCCUACCUUUGUGCUUAAGGACAAGCACGUUUCCAAAGGGGGGAGUAAUGUUACGAAUAAACAGCAAACCAGCUAUUUUCAGCAAGUCUGUAAGAGGCUCUCGCAUGGGAAAAGAAGGCACGGUAUUGAUUGUGUAAAAUUGAUUUCUUUCCUUAGUUUAUUCAGAUGUUUGUUUUUCCUUAUUUAGUUUUCCUAAUUCAAAUAGUAGUUAGGUUUCCUAAAUUUUAGUAGUAUUAGUUGCGCAGGAAAUAUUAGUUGUUAAGGCAUAUACUCCGAAUUAAUGAAUGAGUAUAUUCUUGUUUAGAGUCCAGUUAAGAAUCAAAGCGUAUUUGAUGCGUCCCACAUCGGUUCUGCAGGGAGGUCUUGGGUGUUAUAUACAUGAGUUUGCAAAUCUCCCCUUGUUAGCUAGCUUUUGAGGUGGAGUUAGACAAGUUCAUAUCAUUUUGGAAUUCAGAAGGAGCCCACAUCAUCUACUUCGACAAUUUUUUUAUUCACUUCUAAAAUCCACAUCAACAUGGACUCAUGAUCUAAACCCAUCGGAUAUAAUUGAAACAAAAUCAAUCACUAUAAAACAAAUUGAUGAACAUAAUUAAAAAUAUAAUACAACUUCAAAAAAAAAAAGGUUCAAAGUUCAAAAUUUAGUCCCUAAAAACAUCUCAGGCAUUUUUAGUAACCAAACAAACACACACUUCGCUUUUAAACUCAGGGACAAGUUUCUGAAGAGGGAGGAGGAAAAAAAAAAAAGAGUUUUAUGUGUGAUGGAGUAGUUGAUGUGCAUUGGGAAUGUAAAAAUAUAAUUUGGGUGGAGUGAAAAAAGUAAGUUUAUGUGAUGCGAUAGUGAUUUAUUCCUUUGGGAUUAGAAAAUUUCUUUAGAAGCGAGUUUUAUUCAAAAUUUAAAUCUAAAAAAGGCAAGUAACUUAUCGAUAAAAAAAUAUAGGCAUUAUUGAAAUUAAUUUUAAUUGGUACCCAUAGGAGCUGAGUCUUGCAAGGGAUUUUAAAAAUUAGUUUGAAAAAUUAAAAUUGCACAUGGAAUGGCUUGUUCGGUCAAUCCAUGUGCAUGGGCAUUGUUUACACCAAAAUAAUAAAAAUUGGGUCAUUAAUUAUUUGAGGCCUAAUAUUACUUAAUUUUUUUACAAAAUUAAUUUAAUUAAUUUUGUUUUAUUAAUUGAAUAAUGAGGCCUAGAAGUCAUUUAUCAUUUUGGGUGAUUUAAGAGAUAGGAUGCAGAAGGAGUUAUAAGAGAUUGUAAAGAGCAGUUAUUAGAAGGUGGAGAGUUAGAAGGAGUUAAGAGCAGUUACCUCCAGUUUAUUCAAGACGUGAGAUGGUGGAUUCCAGAGUCUUCUAAGUGCUUCCAUGAGCAAUAACUUUCAUGUAUAGAGGUGGUGUCUCUAGAUGCUUCUAGGUGCCUUCAAGAUGGUUAUAAAAAGUAGAUAGGUUACAGCAUUGCAAAUCCCAACAAACCCACUCGACCAAUCAAUCAAACCUAUCAAUAGACUCUAGUCUUUCAUCCUUUAUUUUCAUUGUUUAUCUUUAUUUUCCAAGCCUUGCAAUUAAUUCCAAAAGCUCUGUAUUUAUUUUUUCAAGCAAUCAAUACAAACUCUCUUUCAAUUCCUUAUUCAAUUUAUAGUGAGAUUAGGCAAAGUUGCGUACAAUAGAGCCUUUUCCUACAUUUGUUAGAAGUCCAUGAAUGCAUCAGAUUAAUAUACUCAUCAUAUGGCGCACCCACAUUCAAGCAGUUAGCCAACCAAAUUGUUUUUAUAGCAAACAAUUAGUUAUUUAAUUCAAUUCACAAUAUAAAUUGUUUAUAAUAUAGAAAAUAGAAAAGUCAAUUCUCAAUGACUAGUUUCAAUUGGAGUAACUUUAUGCAGUAAGUUGAUUCUUGAGAAAGUUUUUGAAAAAGUAAUAUGAGGCAUGGUAUAAUGCUAACAUAGAGCAUUUGCAAGUUAAGGGUGAAUUAUUGCAAAGUUGACUUGGAUGAGCAUGUGUCUCUGAAGGAUAAGUCAGUGCCAGUAUGGAAGAUUGUAGUCACCCAAAUUUAUACGAAUGAAGCUAUGGCGUGGAAAGCUUAUGUCUAACAAGUGAUGCUACUAUAGUUUGAUCAAUUAAGGAGAGGCCAAAACCUUCUCCGUGUACAUAAGAGAGACAUACAAAAAAGCAAAUUAAGUGAAAUUCAAGUAGGAAAUUGUGAAACUGCUUUGGGUUUUAAAAUGUUGUAUUCAGUAAGUUUUAUAAGAAUAGCAAGCAUGUUGAGUUGUUAUUCUCAUUAAGAAAUUUGUUUUUGC
rnacentral:misc_RNA from 1 species